UCUUCCGAUCUAAGGGCGCAAGGGGGAUGCCUUGGCAUUGGAAGCCGAUGAAGGACGUAGCGAUCUACGAUAAGCCUCGGGGAGACGAAAGCAGUCAUCGAUCCGGGGAUUUCCGAAUGGGGAAACCCGCUGGAGCAAUACUCCAGCAACUCUUUGUGAAUCAAAUAGCAAAUUGUGGGGAACCGCCUGAACUGAAACAUCUAAGUAGGGCGAGGAAAAGAAAUCAACCGAGAUUCCGCUAGUAGUGGCGAGCGAACGCGGAAGAGGCCAAACCAAGGGUAGUAAUACCUUUGGGGUAUGGACAGCGCACGGUAUUGAGGAUCGAUAGUGGAAUGAAAUGGGAAGUUCAACCAUAGAGUGUGAGAGUCACGUACACGAAAUUGAGAAUCAGCCAGCUGUAUCCGGAGUACCGCCGGACACGUGAAACCCGGUGGGAAUACGGGGGGACCACCCUCCAAGCCUAAAUACUCUCCAAUGACCGAUAGUGUAUAGUACUGUGAAGGAGAGGUGAAAAGAACCCCUGGCGGGGAGUGAAAAAGAACCUGAAACCUUGUGCCUACAAGCACAUAGAGCACAUCAACGUGUGAUAUGGUACUUUUUGUAGAACGGUCCGGCGAGCGAUUGUAUGUUGCGAGCUUAAGGUCUUAAGGACUGGAGGCGUAGCGAGAGCGAGUCUGAACAGGGCGUUCAGUAACAUGCAAUGGGCCCGAAACCGGGUGACCUACCCAUGAUCAGGCUGAAGUGAAAGUAAAAUUUCAUGGAGGGCCGAACCGACCUCCGUUGAAAAGGCGGCGGAUGAAUUGUGGGUAGCGGAGAAAUUCCAAUCGAACUCGGAGAUAGCUGGUUCUCCCCGAAAUAGCUUUAGGGCUAGCCUCAUAUUAGAUACCCGGAGGUAAAGCACUGAAUGGCCUAGCGCCCGAGAGGGUAGCGAAGCCUAUCAAACUAAGAAUGCCGGAGUAUUGAUGUAUGGGAGUCAGACAGUGUGAGAUAAAUCUCAUUGUCAAAAGGGAAACAGCCCAGAUCUACAGCUAAGGUCCCAAAUUGUAUCUAAGUGGAAAACGAUGUGGAAAUACGCAGACAACCAGGAUGUUGGCUCAGAAGCAGCCACUCAUUUAAAGAGUGCGUAAUAGCUCACUGGUCGAGUGACUCUGCGCCGAAAAUUUAACGGGGCUAAACCAUACACCGAAGCUUAGGAAUAUACUUUUAGUAUGUUGGUAGGAGAGCGUCGUAUACGGGGUGAAGUUACAGCGGAAGCGGUAGUGGACUGUAUACGAGUGAGAAUGCCGGAAUGAGUAGCGAGAAUUAUGUGAGAAUCAUAAUGGCCGAAAGACUGAGGUUUUAGAAGGAAGGUUCGUCCGCUUCUAGUUAGCCGGGGGCUAAGGCGAGGCCGAGAGGCGUAGUCGAUGCACAUACGGUAGAGAUUCCGUAGCCACCUUGAAUUUAAACUGAGGGACACAUUGAAAGGGUAUAUCCCGGGCGUUGGUUGACCCGGGCGUAAGGGAGCUAACAUAUCAGCGAAGUAUACUUGGACAGUGGCGAGAAAAGCUCAGUGUAUAUAAUCAGGGUGCCCGUACUGCAAACCGACACAGGUAGUCAGGAAGAGAAUUCUAAGGCCAACGGGAGAAGGAUUGUUAAGGAACUCGGCAAAUUGACCCCGUAACUUCGGAAUAAGGGGUGCUCACGAGAGUGAGCCGCAGUGAAUAGGUCCAGGCAACUGUUUAUCAAAAACACAGCUCUCUGCUAAAUCGUAAGAUGAUGUAUAGGGGGUGACACCUGCCCGGUGCUGGAAGGUUAAGAGGAGGAGUGCAAGCUCCGAAUUGAAGCCCCAGUAAACGGCGGCCGUAACAAUAACGGUCCUAAGGUAGCGAAAUUCCUUGUCGGGUAAGUUCCGACCCGCACGAA
rnacentral:rRNA from 1 species